UAAAUGUCAUAUGUACACAUAUACAUAUAAUUAUUUGUCCAUUGGUGUAAGUACCUAAUUAUUAUCAGUAGCUUUAUCAUUAACAGGAAGUUAUGAUUGCGUUGUCAUGUGCAGUGCCAUAGGAUCCGGUCAUGUGCCAGCAGAGGCCUUCUUGGAGAUUCAGCGAAUCACACGCCCUGGUGGCUUCGUCGUUCUUGCAGUCAACGUCAAGAAUUUUCACAAGGGUUAUGGAAAAUGCAGAGCGGAAUUCUGUCACGUGUUCGAUACAUUAGAGGCCCAGGGUAAAUGGGUCAAGGCCACGGAGACAACAUUUCCUAACUAUAGUGGGGACUUCGAGGGAAUCCUCAUGACAUUCAGAGUAUGUUAGCGACCCCGAUGAUACACCAAGGGAAUAUUGACAGAAUCAUCAUGAUAUUCAGAAUGUGCUAGCGAUGCUAUAUGCCAUGUCCAUCUGUACGAUUGUCAUAUCAAUUUAUAUUUUAUUUUUCUCGUACAGACAAGUGCUAACACAAACCUUUUAUAACCGACAGAGCAUACCUUUUGACAAAACUAUUGUCUAUAGCAAUAAAUAUUUUAGUAUUUUGCUUCAAAAGUGUUUACGAUUCUUUAAGGGUCGUCCCCAACAGCAUACAACUCUACAAAGCUAUGGUGAGGGCGCAAAAAUAGAAGUCUGAAGUUUGAGAUUUGUGCAAUCUGAACAUGUCCUGUAUUUGCUGGUACAGCAGGUAGUUCGUCAGUAUAUCAGAAAAUAUAAUGUUAAGGAAUAGUUAGGUCAUGCACCAAAGAAAAUAAUAAUCUGUCUCGUGCAUGGGGAGACAGCUUCCAUACUUUGAUAAACUUAUUUCAGCAGACACGUUUCCUUUUUUAGAUCGACACAGCCUCGUUGUAUAAUGUUUUAUUACAUGCUAUGGCUACUGGCGCUCACUGAUAGAUCACAGACCCGAAUACACGUGUUUUUCCUGUUAUACAGUCGUUCUGGUAUCGAUAUUGCAACUACCUGUCAAUGCAAAGACUUUGACGACAUUUUUUGAGAAUCUUAAUACAGAUGGUCUUCCAUUUAACGUCCUGUAUUCGUUAUCGGACAAGUUGAUAUCAUUUUUCGGAUUCAAGAAGAAGGUCACAUAUGUUCAAAAUAGGUUACUUUUGUUGACGUUAGUUUGAUAUUAAAUAGUGGACUGGCUGGGUUAUUAAGAUAAUUUACUGUUCUGUUGAGCUGUCCCGGGGCCGUAGUACUUCUUAAUUGUUCACCGGUGGUGAGGGGCUCAGUACAUAAUGUUUCAGCUACAAUGAAUGUACGGUUUACUGUCUGUCAAUUUUACUGCUUCAUAUAAGGGUUACUGAUAAUUAUAACUUGUAUAUAAUUAAUUAUAACAAAACAUGGCAACAAUAUUGGCUCGUCAUUCUUCUUUCAUCAAGACUUAUUUUGACUUACUUAUAAAGCCACAAGAAAACAGCAAUGUUGGGAGACCAGUGUAAAAACGAGUAAGAGUAUCGUUGUCUCUUAUCUUAUCCACUCCCCAUUUGUCCAGGCAUAUUUCCUCUUUCAGCACCCUGUUUUCCUCCUGAAGACGCCUAUUCUCCAUCACUAUAGGGUCAUCAUCACACUGCAUACUUAAGUAUAAGUAAAAUAUAUGUUGAUUUCAUACAGCAUAUUUUCUUCUAAAACCAGAAGCCUCAGAGACAAACAUUUUCCCCGGUUCACACAAAUUUCUGGUUUAUAGGUAAGAGGGGAAUUCAGGGACCAUAGACAACCAAGGCUUGAAUAGAUCGGGAUUUGGAUUAGACUAAGGCCUGUUUUGACAAGUUACACUGUACUCAGUACACCAGACAUUUAAAAAGGUGGUAAAUAAAACUUCAUGACUGAAUUUAGCUAUAAAACAUAUGUCGCCAAAACUAUAAAGGUAACAAAACUCUUGGAUCCUGAGGGGAGAAUUCCCAAAUUAUGUUAAGUAAACUCUAUGGUGCUUUAUUUCUAAAUGAAAUCUUGGUAGAUUGGUAGGCCUAAGACUGAAUAGAAUAAAGUAAUUGAACAUUUUUACAAAUAAUAGUAUAAUAAAGAACCAGAAUGAAAGCUGUUUGGGAAUGUAUGUGGAUAGAUAAUUGGAUAAAUAAUAACAACUGAUGAGGAAUUUAAUUACAACAAAUAUUGUUUUACCAGUCUCAACAUAAACAUCAACAUCUGUGUCAUCUUCAUGUAUUUGGACCUCAGUCGUAGCUUCAGGUUCUGGAAUAGGCUUGCAGUAUCCUCUAUGUAUAUCUAUUGAAGCUUUCUUUUCGUCAUCCUCUAGUUGUCUCUGUUAAUUUUUCUAAAUGUUGACUUUUCUAUAAAUAAAAGAAAAACAAAAACAUUAUGAAAAUAAAUAUUUAAAACUUGUUGCUAAGCAGUGGAAAUAUAGAAAUAAAAUUGCUGACAUGUUCACAUUCACAUCGAACAAAUAGAAAUGUUUUAAGGAGCAUACAAAGUAAGAGAGUUAACUCCCUUACAUCAUAUGUAGACUACGACUUGACUUUAUUUUAAAAGUUCUUAAGAAAUUGGCAAAUGAUUAAACAGGAAACAUAUGUUAUAAUCUUGUCAUGCACUAGCAUCAUAUAAAUUAUUCCCUAUGAGGAUGAUUAUGGUAACUUGUUAUGUAGCAGUUUUCCAAGAGAUUGCAGUAUUGUAAUGUUCACAUUAUUAAGUAAUCAGCGCAUCAUCAAAGUUACUGAAAUUUUGUAAUGCAUAUUAAUGCAUAUACAUGUAUCUACUGUAUUGUAAAAUAUAUAAAUAUUAAAUAAUCAAAUCUGAUCAUAUUAGUGACUCUUUAAAAGGCCGACAAUUUAUAAGACCUUUUUCAUGUAUAUCCGUGUUAUGAACCCCAGAAUAAGAUUUAUAUAAAUAUAGUAUAGUAUAUUGUAUUAAUAUAUAUUAAGAGUAUAUACUAUACUGUAUAUUUAUUAUAAAUGCAUAACAAAGUAAUACAGUAUAGAAUAUGCUUCAAUGAUGAUACAUGCACACUAUAUUUCUACCAUAGAUACGGUAUAUAUAUUGCCAAUGUUUACCUCAAUUAUAAACAAAUGUACAUAUACAAUUUUACAUAUUGUAUUACAUACGUCGUAUGCCUGAUACGAAUAUGUAGAUACAACUUCCAAUCAAGUCCGAAUAUUGCGGGAAAAGUUCAUCCAUCAUGUGGCUUCGUCGUCCUUACAGCUAACGCUAAGAGUUUGCACAAGGACUACGGGAAUUGCAGACAGGAAUUUUGCCGCGUGCUUGAUACAUUAGAGGCCCAAAGGAAAUUGUGUUAAGGGCACAGUAACCAAACAUGAAUUAAGGUUAGCCCACUAUGUAUUAAGGUUAGUCCUCUAUAUACUAAGAUUAGCCCAUUGUGUAGUGAGGUUAGCCCAUUAUGUAUUAAGGUUAGCCCAUUAUGUAUUAAGGUUAGUCCUCUAUGUACUAAGGUUAGCCCAUUGUGUAGUGAGGUUAGCCCAUUAUGUAUUAAGGUUAGUCCUCUAUGUACAUGUACUAAGGUUAGCCCAUUGUGCAGUAAAAUUAACCCAAUAUGUAGUAAGGUCAGCUCAUUAUAUAUUAAGUAAGCCCACUGUGUGGUAAGGUUACCCCGUUAUGUACUAAGUUUAGCCCAUUGUGUACUAAGGUUAGUCAAAUAUGUACUACGGUUAGCCGAUCGUGUAGUAAGGUUAGCCAUUAUGUACUAAUGUAAGCAUAUUGUGUAGUAAGGUCAGCCCACAGUGUACUAAGGUUAACACACUGUGUAUUGAGGUUAGCCGACUACGUACUAAAAUAUAACAUGUCAUGACAUUUCUCUUAAUAUAAACUCUCAAACAGAUUUAAUGAAAGACUAUCACAAUGUCAGAAAAUAGAUAGCAAGUGGUAAGGGUGAUACAUCUCUUGAACAUUUUGAUAAAGAAUGGGAAAUGUAAAACAAAAAUACUUUAAGCUUACAUUGAAGAGCUUUGUAUAACUGUAUUCGUUUAUAUCAACUCUUUCACUCUGACAGUUUGUGUAAAAAUAAAAAAUAAAUACUUGUUUAUGUUUUAUUGUGUGCAUUUAUACUAUCUUUGAGCAAAUGUUUUAAUUGAAUAAUUGUCCACUAUUCUGUGUGGCCUGUAUCUGUUGGGGGUAUAAAUUCAAUAUUACCAAAUAUUUAUGUUUAACAGUAUAUUUAUAUGAAUAUUAAUUUUUAUUGCUUUGUAUUAUUCACUGAUAACAUAAUAAUCCAGUAUCUAAAUUAAGUACCCUUAGCCAAAGGGUUACUCUCUUAAACAACAUUGAAUAAGUCUAACAACCUCAAGGAGUUGCUUCCCCUUAAAUCAAUUUGUCAUAUCAAUGUGUACAUAUACAUUAUAUAUGUCUGUAUUUUACCACCUGUUGUUUCUAAGGAGAAGGCUUAGAUAGGCAAUGUCUGAUGUCUAAUCCUAUUGACUUUGUCUCUAUGUCAAUAAAAUUUGUUUAAAUUGAAACUGAC